UACGUAGGGGGCAAGCGUUGUCCGGAGUUACUGGGCGUAAAGCGCACGCAGGCGGUCGAUUAAGUUUGGAGUGACAGUUGGUGGCUUAACUGCCAAAGUGCUUUGAAAACUGAUCGACUUGAGGGCUCCAGAGGGACACGGAAUUCCGGGUGGAGUGGUGAAAUGCGUAGAGAUCCGGAGGAACACCGAAGGCGAAGGCAGUGUCCUGGGGAGUACCUGACGCUCAGGUGCGAAAGCCAGGGGAGCGAACGGG
rnacentral:rRNA from 1 species